GCCGGGUGUGGUGGCGUGCGCCUGUAGUCCCAGCUACUCGGGAGGCUGAGACAGGAGAAUUGCUUGAACCCGGGAGGCAGAGGUUGUAGUGAGCCAAGAUCACGCCACUGCACCCCAGCCUGGGCAACAGAGCAAGACUCCGUCUCCA
rnacentral:sRNA from 1 species